GGAAGGAAGGAAGGAAGGAAGGAAGGAAGGAAGGAAGGAAGGAAGGAAGGAAGGAAGGGAGGAAGGGAGGAAGGGAGGAAGGGAGGGAGGAAGGGAGGAAGGGAGGAAGGGAGGAAGGGAGGAAGGGAGGAAGGAAGGAAGGACCCAGAUUAAUAGAUAAAUAGAGGUGAAGAGGUAUUUGUUGAUUGUUUACAUCUGUGCAUAGUCCAACUCCAGAGUCUGGUGGCCUGUCUGUGUGUUUCUCCUGGUCAAGUUAUCUUCAAGAGGCUCCUUUCUCCUAGGCUGUUCUUGUAUGAAAAUGCACAUAACAAAUAAAUGAUAUAAAAGCAGAUAAAGUGACUCUGAAUAGUCCCUGCUGAUUCAAAUCAGUUAGAGCACCAGCAAGGAAGAGAAAGCAAAAUGGCUAAUUAAGAAAUGAUGAACACUCUGCAUCUGAUUCCAAAUGUCCUGAAAGCAUACAUCCAUCAACAUGAUUCAGUAUUUUACAGCCUGGUUCUGCAAGAGUUAUCUAUAAGCCUCUGUUAA
rnacentral:lncRNA from 1 species